rnacentral:rRNA from 1 species
AGGUGAGGAAAAGAAACUAACAAGGAUUCCCCUAGUAAUGGCGAAUGAAGAGGGAAAAGCCCAAAUUUGUAAUCUGGCUCUUUCAGAGUCCGAGUUGUAAUUUUAAGAACUGUUUUCAGUGCUGGACCAUGUACAAGUCUGUUGAAAAGCAGCAUCAUAGAAGGUGAUAAUCCUGUUCAUGAUAUGGACUACCAGUGCAAUAUGAUACAGUCUCUAAGAGUCGAGUUGUUUGGGAAUGCAGCUCAAAGUGGGUGGUAAAUUCCAUCUAAGGCUAAAUAUUGAUGAGAGACCGAUAGCAAACAAGUACCGUGAGGGAAAGAUGAAAAGAACUUUGGAAAGAGAGUUAACAGUACGUGAAAUUGUUAAAAGGGAAACAAUUGAAGUUAGACUUGUUAUUAUUAGUUCAACCUUUUCUAAGGGGGUAUUCUAAUGAUUAACAGACCAACAUCAAUUUUUGGGUGUUGGAGAAGGGUUUAAGGAAAUGUAGCAGUUUUUGACUGUGUUAUAGUCCUGAGCUUUGAUACAAUGCUUAAGAUUGAGGAAUGCAGUAAGCCCUUUCUUUUUUUGGGUGGAACAAAUUAUUGUUCUUCUUACUGAGGAUGUUGGUGCAAUAGCUUUAAAUGACCCGUCUUG